rnacentral:rRNA from 1 species
AUUGAACGCUGGCGGCCGGCCUAACACAUGCAAGUCGAGCGAGCGGCGGAAGGGUGAGUAAUGUAUGGGGACUGCCCGAUAGAGGGGGAUAACUAAUGGAAACGGUGGCUAAUCCCGCAUACUAUCGGAUAACCCAUAUGGGAUUAGCUAGUAGGGGGGGUAAAGGCUCACCUAGGCGACGCUCUCUAGCUGGUCUGAGAGGAUGAUCAGCCACACUGGGAUGGGUACACGGCCCAGACUCCUACGGAGGCAUCAGUGGGGAAUAUGUCCCAAUGGGAGCAAGCCUGAUGCAGCCAUGCCGAGUGUAUGAAGAAGGCCUUAGGGUUGUAAAGUACUUUCAGCGGGGAGGCGUUACCCGCAGAAGAAGCACCGGCUAACUCCGUGCCAGCAGCCGCGGUAAUAC